UUAACACAAAUUUGUAUGGAGUUGGAACGUUUGCCGCUAGGAGCGUGGAAUUGGUACGUUUGCCUACGUUUGCCGCUAGGAGCGCUGUUCCAGCUCUAUACAAAUUUGAGUUA
rnacentral:pre_miRNA from 1 species